rnacentral:rRNA from 1 species
AACGAACGUUAGCGGCGCGCCUAACACAUGCAAGUCGAACGCGACAGGGGCAACUCUGUUGAGUGGCGCACGGGUGAGUAACACGUAGGUAAUCUCCCCUCGAGUGGUGGAUAACUUUCCGAAAGGAGAGCUAAUACAGCAUAAGACCACGGCUUCGAAAGGAGCUGAGGUCAAAGCGGAGGAUCGCAAGACUUCGCGCUUGAGGAUGAGCCUGCGGCCCAUCAGGUAGUUGGCGGGGUAAUGGCCCACCAAGCCUUAGACGGGUAGCUGGUCUGAGAGGAUGAUCAGCCACACUGGAACUGAGACACGGUCCAGACUCCUACGGGAGGCAGCAGUGGGGAAUCUUGCGCAAUGGACGAAAGUCUGACGCAGCGACGCCGCGUGGGUGAUGAAGGCCUUCGGGUUGUAAAGCCCUGUGGGGAGGGACGAAUAAGUUGCAGCUAAUACCUGCAGCGAUGACGGUACCUCCUUAGCAAGCACCGGCUAACUCUGUGCCAGCAGCCGCGGUAAUAC